rnacentral:lncRNA from 1 species
GACAGGUGGUGUACACAACAAACUUAUGUAUUAGUUUAAGUCUCGGGAAGUGAAGAAGUCUUUAAAGUUUUGAGCCUACGCUCUUCGACAGAAAGGAACAAAAAAAGAAACAAGGAGAGAUGAUAAAGAAUGUGUAGUGGCUUGAGAUCUAUGAUGUAGCAGCUUUAGUGAUAAUUUUGCAGUUUUAAUAAAAAGGCAUAUUAGUCUAACUUCGAUAUAUAUAUAUAUAUAUAUAUAUGCAAAAUUUAGUAACUGUAGUAGGUAAAAUCCAGGUUACCUGUGUUUCAUAGCCAGCGGAACCUCGGAAGUAGUAAUUCUCCAAACUGUAGGUGAACCGCCCGUUGCUCUUCUGCUCAACGAUACCUUGAUUAUGUGACGUUUACAUUGUUGUUAGCAGAUCCCGUGUAAACUCGAUGGGGUUCGACCGAAAUGCGUAGAAGGUACAGUUCGAGAGGAAAAUGCCCAGUUCCCAACAGAUCCCGUACUUCGAUUGGGAAAAAUUUCAGAUCCUUCUGCGCCAUUAAACCAGAAUUGUUCCUGUAAAUGUUUUUUUGCGUAUUCUUUGAAACUCACUGAUUUGCUACACAUCAAUCCUUGGAACUCUGUGACGUCACACCGCUUCCUAUCACUGCCAACUUCAAAAUCAGCACUGGCUACCUGUGGGUCACUGGAUUUCUCGAACUUCAUGACCUGCCUAUAUCACUCUGUAUACUCUUUUCUCUUUUUACUCUUUUACUUGUUCCAGUCAUUUGACUGCGGCCAUGCUGGAGCACCGCCUUUAGUCGAGCAACUCGACCCCGGGACUUAUUCUUUGUAAGCCCAGUACUUAUUCUAUCGGUCUCUUUUUGCCGAACCGCUAAGUGACGGGUACGUAAACACACCAGCUUCGGUUGUCAAGCGAUGGUGGGGGGGACAAACACAGACACACACGCACACAUAUAUAUACAUAUAUACGACAGGCUUCUUUCAGUUUCCGUCUACCAAAUCCACUCACAAGGCUUUGGUCGGCCCGAGGCUAUAGUAGAAGACACUUGCCCAAGGUGCCACGCAGUGGGACUGAACCCGGAACCAUGUGGUUGGUAAGCAAGCUACUUACCACACAGCCAUUCCUGCGCCUAUAUGUUAAUUUCUGCCCGAAUACCUGUCUUAGCUAUAUUCUGUCCAAUCAAAUUCCUGCAUAGCCGGACAUGGAAGCUUAAUGAUUAAUAUUUUCCACUUGAAACUUACUCUCUUUAGGUUUGGUUAAUUGUGUUACAUACCUCCGAGGAGGCAUCAAUUAUUAAUUAAUCGUGUCUCUUUUAUUUAAGUACAGAAAGACUUACAUAAAUUCGACACAUACGAUCUAAUUUUAACCCACUCUGUCUCUUUAUUUCUCUCUCUCUCACUCUCUUUAUAUAUAUAUAUAUAUAUAUAUAUAUAUAUAUAUAUAUAUAUAUAUAUAUAUAUAUAUAUAAAUAUAAUAAUAAAUAUAAUAAAUAUAUAUGUGUGUAUAUAUAUAUAUAUGUUAUGUUGAAGAGUAUGUAAAUAUUUUUCAGUCUAAGAAUUUUUCGAAAGAACUUACGUCGCGAUAGAAUGUGAGGGUUCUAUCGUUAGUAAUUCUGUUUCGCCUUUGUUUUUUUUCACUUUUUCUGACGCAUUUUCUCAGCAGACAAGCUGACACCAAGACUUUGUUUUUCAUGAAAAUUGGAGACAAUCUUAGCUAAGUUCUUAUUACUGCAUCUUUGUUUCUUCUAAAUUCCAUUCAUUUAUUUAAUAACUGAACUAUUACAGCUUUCUGUACCAUUAUCCUCUCUAAUACAUCAUGAUCAAGUUCAACAUAAGAAUAAUAAUAACAACGAUAACAAUAGUUUGUUUUUAUUAACCACUCUGAGUUGACAAAAAUCAUUGAACACUGUGCAGGAGGAGGAUAAAAUGUGAAAAUACUUCGAUGUUGUAAAAAGGAAAAAAAGGAAACAUUUGUAAAAACAAAUAAAGAAACAACAAUUUUCGAAUAUGGAAUAAAUAAUGAAAAGGUUCGUAGUUCUGCGUGCUACUCAGAAAUCGAAACUAGAAAAUUCAUAUAAACGUCAUUUCUCAAUUGUCCUUUACUAGUUUCGUUAUUUUUGUUGAUGUCGACCCAUUUAGUCGGGACAUGGUCGCCUGUCGCUUCCUAAUUUCAGGAAAUUUGCUGGAAGGCAACUCUUCCCUUUCUAGUCUCACUUUCACUCUGAAAGAUGCAAAUAUCUGUUUUCAGUUAUUUCUUUCACGUACAAUUACGCAAACUUAUUCCACAAAACUAAUAAACUAAUAAAGACGAGUUAGCUUCCAGUAUAAAGGAAGGUGGCGGGGCAAUUUCAGAGUAAAGAUUCAAACUUUAACUGGGUCCACCACACAUGUGACAACUAUUGAUGAUGAUGAUGAUGAUGAUGAUGACGAUGAUGAUAAUAAUAAUAAUAAUAAUAAUAAUAAUAACGAUAAUAAUAUUUAUUAAUAAUAACAACAACAACAGCAAUAACAAUAACAACAACGACGACGACAAUAACAACAAGAACAACAUCAAGUGAACUCAGAGAGCGCAAAACUCCGCCAAGGCAACACCAAUGUCUUGUGAAGGGCUAACCGGAGAUGAGGUUUAAAAUGACUAUAUCUGAAAUUUCACGCUGACCAUUUGAUAAGUAACUAAAAUCCUAUAGAUUCAUGGAUACCUAAAAACCUAUACGCUCAUGGAAGCAGCGAACUACAUCCAUAUCCUCUGGAAAAAAAGAUGAACUGUAAACGUUAUACUCUUGCCUAUAUCCUUCUGACCACAUUUACUUUUUAUUCUUCUAUUUUACUCUUUUAUUCUAUUUCAUUCUUGAUAAAGUGUGAAUUUUAUUCUUUGUAUCUGUAAAUUCUUCUCUGUCUAAAAUAUUCAUACCUUGCCUCGGACGAUGGAUUACCCAGUGCAUGGACAUGUUGACCAACCGCUUAGGUUAUCCCAGAAAAGAGUGUAAGACCUCCAAUUCACCUUACUCUAAUUAAAUUAUUCUAAAUGAUUUGAGAUACUCGUUCUGUCGAGGUUUAUAUUUUUCCUUUAAUAUAAUACAUAUCUAUGUGUAUAUACAUACAUACACACAUACAUACGUACAUACAUACAUACAUACAUACACAUACAAACAUACAUAAUAUACAUAUAUAUAUAUAUAUAUAUAUAUAUAUAUAUAUAUAUAUAUACAUAUAUAUUUCAUGCAUGCAUGGACAUGCGCGCGUGUGUAUUGAGAAAUAUCCCUAGGGGGGCCUCCUGCAUGCAGAAUAACUCAUUAAAUGUACGUCAGUAUCCUUUAGGUGGUGAAGGAAAAUAACAUUUAUCCAUUUAUCAUUUGUAAUUAUAUCCCUAUUGAGAAAAAAAAUGCUCAUUAGCUCAAAUGAAAAUAUGUUUUCAGAAGGCACAAUAGAAAGCAGUUACGUAAUUUCAGUCAGUUAAUAACUAUCUAAUGCUGUUACAGGUGAAAGUGACCUGCACUUAGCUACAUCAUCGAAUAUUAAACUGUAACAGCGAAAGAAAUUCUGGUUAGAUGUUCUGGCUUCUAGAUAUAGAAGCUAACUUACGCUCAAAAUAUGCCCACUCCGUUACUGAAGGCAUUGUAUUAGACAAUGUAUCGUCUGUUACCAUGUAUGUCGAAAAAUAAUCGGUUCUCUAUGACUGGGUUUAAUUUGAUCUUGCGUUUUCUCGCUUAGAGUUUAAUUUAAGCUAAACAAUAUCUGUGCACCAGUUGCCUGACUAUGGAAGCAAAAACAGACGCUCAUUUACUGAAUCCUAUUUUACUUUGCUGUGACAUCAGGCGGCACUAAAACAACAACAACAACAUCAGGCACGUAUUCAUCAAAUGUUAUUGCACUUCACUUAACUUUCCGUUUACAACUUACGAUUGACUCCCUGGUUAAUACGUCCGCUUUAAAUCCAUCUAAAUUUAGUUAAACCUGUUUUCUGAUCCCGUCUUUCUUCGACCAGAAACCGUUUCAAUUCAGUUUGGUAGAAAGAAACUGAGUGAACACCUGUUUGUAUAUAACGUUACUGUUCUUGGUCGACAGACAUAUUCCAUCAAUCAUUUAGAUGCUGCCAAUUGGUUCUUGGGUGACCUUAGCUGGGUCAAUUUUAUUUGAAACGUAACAUUAGUAUUUCUGCCCCUGUCUGAACACCAUUUUUCAACAGAUGUGAGAAAACAUUUCCAUUCAAUCAGCGAAACUUUGUCUUCUGCAUUUGUGAUAAUUUCUUGAUUUUGAUGCAAUACAGGAAGAGGAGCACUUCGUCGGUUACGACGAUGAGGGUUCCAGGUGAUACAAUCAACGGAACAGCCUGCUCGUGAAAUUAACACGCAAGUGGUUGAGCAUUCCACAGACACGUGUAUGCAGAAUGUAGUUCUCAGGGAAAUUCAGCGUGACACAGAGUUUGACAAGGCUGGCCCUUUGAAAUACUGGAACAACUCAUUUUUGCCAGCUGAUAAGACUGGAGCAACGGGAAAAUAAAGUGUCUUGUUCAAGGACAGAACGCGUCGCCGGGAAUUGAACUCACGACAUUACGAUCGUAUGUCGAAUAUCUCAGACACUAAGCCACGUGUCUUCUAUCAAGUCUAUACCAUACAAUUAAGCCUACAACAUGCAUAGUGUGUUAGAGCGUCUUCUGGGUUGAAGACAGCAUUUAAAUUAAGACGGAUAUUUAAUUUCUACCGAAAUUUUUGGGGAGGGGCCAGUCGAUUAGAUCAACCCCAGUACGCAACUGGUACUUAAUUUAUUGACCUCGAAAACAUGAAAGGCAAAGUCGACCUCGACGGGAUUUGAACACAGAAUGUAAAUACAAACGAAAUAACGCUUAGCAUUUCGCCCAGCGUGCUAACAUGUCUCAUUUCUUUAUUGCCCACAAGGUGCUAAACAUAGAGAGGACAAACCAGGACUUAAGGCGAUUACAUCGACCCCAGUGCGUAACUGGUACUUAAUUUAUCGACCCCGAAAGGAUAAAAGGCAAAGUCGACCUCGGCAGGAUUUGAAUUCCGAACGUAACGGCAGACGAAAUACUGCUAAGCAUUUCGCCCAGUGUGCUAACGUUUCUGCCACAUUUAAGAAGAAAUAUUUCUCUUAUUUCUAAUUAGUCUUGGGAUCAGAUAGACAUUUACUUGUGUAUCAUAUAUUUUGUCAGAAUAUGUAAAUCGUGGGGAAAUUGCGUUGCUGUAUUUCAUGGCAUUGAUCUUGCCUCUAAGUUAUAAACCCGCUGGGUUCGACUUCAGAUCAGUCACGAAGUAGCAUUGAUAUAACAGUUGACUACACUCACUUUACCGAGCAAAAUAAUGCAGGUCAUUCACCUUUUAGACAUUUAUCUUAGAAAAUGAACAAUGUUGUAGUGACGCAAAAGGAAAAAAUACAUGUGCCAUAAAUAAGUUCACACCUUUGAGUGCUAGGUAAAAAUUCCAUUGCGUUUACGUCGACAAUCAUAUACUAAGGUCAAAAGAAAUCGUAGCAAUCAAAAACUAACUUCCAUCUAAACAACUACGAAACUAAAUAAAGUUUCAAUGAGAAAUAUAUAGAGAUACCCAGGGACAUUUGCUAUAUGUAAAGAUAAACAGCGAUGUAGACGAUAACAGUCAUAAUGUGAUAGCGGAAGAGAAUUUAAUUAGUUAAAUUACACUUAUAGCCGAGAGGGAAUUUUAUCUGCUAAAUGAUUUAUCUGCGGAAAGAUAUGCAGAACAGCCAAAGAAAAUUUCAAAAAAAACGUUCGUAUGAAUUGCCAAAUACAAAGAACAAAUAUUAGUCAUUUUUGAUUCUAUAAUAAAGAUGCGGGAUGUGUUUCAUUUUAUGCGGCCUCAUCAUCGAAAAAUAUUCCGGAGGAUCGUUUAAAGAUGAUGUAGGCAGGGAGAAGAAGUAUCAGAUGAAACAUGGCAGGAGACACAGACACACACAUAUUAUAAACGCAUAUAUGUACACGCAUGCAGGUAGCAAUGUGUGUUUAUAUUUUGGUCUGAUGGAAAUAUAUCAAAGUUGCAAUAAAACAAACGAUAUUUCAAGAAGUAAGGAUGGUUUGCAUACAUCGCCGUUGAAUUAACCACAUUCCCGAUUGGUAUUCAUUUUUAAACGAAUUCAAAACUAAACAACGGUGGACCCAUUUGCAACAUCAACAACUUGAUGGUUUUUUUCUCUAAGGUUCGAAAUGUACUAAUUUUAAUUUUACUUUAAAUCUAUUUUUUUGCGUUAUAUUUAUAUUCUUAACUGAACAGAUUUUCUCUUAUUAUAAAUUCUUCAGUGACUGCAGCAACCAGUUGGUCAAUUCGUUGUUUGAACAGUAAAUCGCUUUUCAUCAAAUAUCUUAUAGCUCGUGCCUUUCGCAGUUGAGAUAAUUUCUCCUGAUAUGUCUGGGAAGGCUUUCGGUACUUAAGACGAAAUUUAAUCAGCUUCAUGUUCUCGUAAGUAGAAAUAUAUAAAUAUUUUUCUUCGACCUCUCAUGAAUGAUCUCUUGGGAUUCAAAUUCUUUGUUGCACUUUUCUUUAUAAAUAUGAUCUGCUUAUGACCUUUAUCUCUUCAUUAAGUAUAGACAGAAGGAUAAUGUUUCUUUUCACACAGAUACUAUGCGAAUGUCUUGUAAGAUUUGGUGCUGUUGUUGCUGUCUUUGUAGUUGUUUACAGUUCUUACAUCGAAUUCUUUACGUUUUGAAUUUUAUUUCCGUCGAGGUCAAGCUUUGACACUCCACCUACUGGAUCGAAAUAAUGAAGUAAGUAACAAGACUCGUGAUAACACACCUUAUUAAUAAAAAACAAAUUCUGUCUUAAGUGAAUGUAUCCUCAUCAUCGUCGCCGUCAUCAUUGUAAUCAUGUUGGUCGUCACUUUCGUCAUCAUCACCAUCGCCGUCAUCCUUGUUGUCAUCGCUGUCAGCAUCGCGCUCGUUCUUAUUCUCAUUAUCAUCACUGUCAUUACACUACGAAUGUAAUCCUAUUGUACAAAUACUGGCGAAUAUUUCUACUCAUUAAACACUCUCUACGUCUCUGAGACCAUUUCGAUUUAGCCUUCAUCUUUGUUCCCCCUUUUUUUCUUGAAGCAGAAGAGUAAACCAUGUGACAUAAACACACAUAUCCAAAAAUAAACAUAUAAAUUAACAAGUUACAUAAUUAAAAUAAAUACAUAAUGGGUAUAAACACAAUAUAACGGAACAGCGAUCAAUAAUAAAUCAGAUCAAUAGAAUCAAAGCGAGAGGCCUACGGGAUAUUUCUAAACGAGAGGAGAAGAAGCCAUCAUUAAUUUGUAAUAUUUCAGACACCGGCAACUAUAUGUAAUCCAUCCAGUUUGAGGUGCUUUGGGGAGAUUUAACAGAAAGAUUGAUGGAUUGCGUUCGCUAGUUUAGGGUAUUCAAGUUUCGAAUAAAUAGCUCUUUAUCUCUGAACGACUACCUGAAUAAAAGGAUUGCUAUUCCAACCGUAACAACCAGUGUGCUAUGAUGGAUAGUGUUCCGAGUAGAAGUAUAUUGAUUAGGAAUCCGGGACACAGCGAUGUGAGCGCUGAGGAUUGAUGUAUCCGUUUUAUUGUAAUUAAAAAAGCCAAAGUUCAGGUGAUAUAAUGAAAUAAAAUUGAAGGAUGCCUAGCUACGGGAAAUACAUUGUUUGUAAUUUAAAUGCUUUAUAAUAGAAGAAAAAAAUGGAAAAGGCCGUUUUAAAUUGAUGCCAGUAUGAAUAUUGCAUCGACAGAGAGCAAUUUUGUCUCUUUUUUCUCUUUUCACAAUUUUCUAUUGUUUCAUUUAUUGGUGAUCGAUCAACAAGUUGGUUCUUCUGUCGAUCACCGAGGGAUUAUGUAUGAUCAAAAUUGUUCUCUGGUUAACUUUAAUAACAUUAUAUACGGAUUUGUAGAAUUAUAUUUAAAGUGCGUGCUUAUUCAAUAUUGGUUUAUUUUCCAUACCAAAAUGGAAUCCACUUGAAUAUUUGCGCUUCUCUGAAUUUGGAGUAAAACGUGUCCUCUGUCCGCAUAUGAUAAUAUUACGUGAGGCUGCAUAUAUAUAUAUGUGUGUGUGUGUGUUUGUGUGUGUGUGUGUUUGUGUUUGUGAGUGUUUGUGUGUGUUGUAAAGCGUCUUUUGCCAUUGUUGUGUCUUUUGACGACGGUUGUAGCUUUGACAGAUAUUGUUAUAUUCAGAAGUCAUUGAUAGGAUGUUUCUAUCUGUACCCCCCCCUCAGUUGUUCAGUGAUUAUCCUCUAAAGUUGGGAUCGUUAUAGCGACCCACUCACUAUCAUACUGUAAUUAUUAUAUCAGCACAGACACGACUAUCAACACAGUCUACACCUACUCUCAACAUUUCCGACCUUCUCCUCACAUUCUUCUUUUGAAUGGCUGGCUACUACCACUUUUUACCGGGAAGGGUUUAGAGUAACAUUAUACAAUAUAUAUAUAUAUAUAUAUAUAUAUUGCAUAAUGGACAAGGAGCAUCCUGCAUCAUCUUGCAGGCAACAUCUAGAAAAAUGGGAAAACAUAUCAUUAGAUAAUUGUAGACAAGUUAAGUAAUAUUGUUUAAUUUCCUUCCUGCUCGAAUAAAAUCUUGUAAUCGGAAGAUUGUUACGUUGCAGAAAUGUUUUUUUCUAGUUUGCGAUCAUAAUGAUCAAAACAACAUCACUGUAUUUUAAUUCAUUUGUGUAUGUGACAUGCGCUCACACUAACAAAAGAACGCACAUAUGCAUACACACUCACAAGGGCAUACACACACACAUAUAUAUGUAUAUGUAUAUAUACAUAUGCAUGUAUGUAUCUGUCUAUCGAUAUAUAUAUAUAUAUAUAUAUAUAUAUCAUGUAUAUAUACAUAUAUAUAUAUGUAUAUAUAUAUAUAUAUAUAUAUAUGUUUAUUUAUUUAUUUAUGUAUAUGUAUUAUAGCUACCAGUUUACCUACACACAUUUAUGGACAGGUGCCUAUGUGUGUAAGUGUAUUUAUAUAUGUAAAUAUCUUUGUGCGUAUAAAUCUUCCGGAAGGCAAACAUUAUGGGUGUGUGUGGGUGUGUGUGUGUGUCGCUGCCAGUGUAUGCAAAUACACAAAUAUACACACAUACGAAGACAUAAUUCCUAUGUAGAAAGAUACACAUACAUACAGAUAUAUAUGUGUGUCUGUGUAUGUAUGUGUAUGUAUAUAUAUAUAUAUAUAUAUAUAUGUAUGUGUGUGUGUGUCUGUGUGUGUGUGUAUGUACACACAUUACAAAGAAUUCGCUCGUUUAAGGAUUGUGAUUCCAGACAUCAUUAGAUUUCGUGUUUCGAAAAAAAAGAAAUAGAAACAAUAAAGAAAAUACAUUUCUCUUACAUAAAAAGGCAUCUACAAGAACUUGCCCCUCCUCGUCUCUAUAUUAUCCAUCUAUCUCACGAUCCCUCUCUAUCCUUCUGCUCUCUCUCUCUCCCUCUUGCUCUCCCUCUUUCCCCCUGGUUCCCUCUCUGUCUACCUAUCUCUCUAUGUAUACAUCUUGAUAUCUACCUAUCUUUCUAUCUUUGCAUUGCAAAACUAACAAGAAAUCAUUAGCAGUUUAACAAUGGCACAUUAUUGCAUGCUCUGGCACAGUUUCUUCCGUUUCUCUUCGUGGACAGUCACUGUAAAACCAACAUCAUUAGCGUUUGGUUCCCACCUUCUUAGCUGCAUAUACAACCACACGUUUUUGCCGAAAGUACACAAGUUCUCUACACGUGACACACAAUAACGCAAUUAUACAAACGAGUAAAUCCGUGGAUGCUUAUUUUACAUAUAUAAAUACCUGUUUACAAAUUAAACAAAUGCAGAAUGCAGGCAAGCUUACAUGCACACAUAUACACACAUGGCUCACUGGUUAGGUCGUCGACCUUAAAAUCGUGAGGAUGUUUGUUCGUUUCCCGUCUUGAGUUCUUGAGCAAGACACUUUAUUUCACGUUGCUCUAUUUCACUCAACUAUAGAAAUGAGUCUCGACUUGAUGGGUGCCGAGCUGUAUCGGCCUUUGCUUUGCCCUUGGUGGCGUAGAGAGGAGAGGCUGCUAUGCAUGGGUGACUGAUGGUCUUCCAUAAACAACCAUGCCCAGACUUCUGCCUUGAAGGGUAAAUUUGUAGUUUCAAUCCCAUGGUCAUUCAUGACCGCAGGGGAUCAUGACGUGAGAAGGGAUCUUCCUUCCUUUCUCUCUGUAUAUAUAUAUAUAUAUAUGUGUGUGUGUGUGUGUAUAUAUAUAUAUAUAUAAAUAUAUGUAUAUAUAUAUAAGUAUAUGUAUAAAUAUGUAUGUAUAUAUACAUGUAUAUAUGUAUGUAUAUAUAUAUAUGGAUGUAUAUAUGUAUAUAUAUAUGUAUGUAUAUAUGUAUACAUAUAUAAAUAUAUAUAUAUGUUUGUAUAUAUGUAUGUAUAUAUAUAUAUGUAUGUAUAUAUGUAUGCAUAUAUAUAUAUGUAUGUAUAUAUAUGUAUAUAUAUAUGUAUGUAUAUAUGUAUACAUAUAUAAAUAUAUAUAUAUGUUUGUAUAUAUGUAUGUAUAUAUAUAUAUGUAUGUAUAUAUGUAUGCAUAUAUAUAUAUGUAUGUAUAUAUGUAUGUAUAUAUAUAUAUAUAUAUAUGUAUAUAUGUAUGCAUAUAUAUAUGUGUAUAUAUAUAUCUAUGUAUAUAUAUAUAUGUAUAGAGAGAGAGAGGGAGAGAGAGAUAGAAGCGAGAGAGAUGUGAGUAGGUGUACGCGCAUACACACACACAGACACAUACAUCCACAUAUCCUCGAAGAAGUCUAAGUGAAUUUGGAUCUUCAUUCCACUCACCUUUUAAGUUACCAAAAGGUCCAGAAAAUGUGAAGUAGUUGACACCCUAUUUAACUGUGUUUUGGUUGAACCAAUUCGGACAACAACAUUGACGAUGGCGAUCCAAAGACUUCUGGCAACGCAUGGAAACAGACUUAAAGCAGAAAUAUGCAACAUUUAGCGCUAUAUGUGUCUCUUCUGAUUUCCUAAAAAACCCGAACGAUUUCGACAUAUCACUGAUACAAAUGAUCGUGCGAAUGUUGUAUGUAUACAUAUAUAAAUAUGUAUGCAUAUCUGUGCUUCUGUGUGUGUAUGUGUGUGUGUGUGUGUGAAUUAUGUAUAUGUGCAUGUCAACAUUUGGUAAUUCCAGUGUAUUUAUGGAAUCCUGUAUGUAUUACAUAUGAAUUGCUUGCAACGGAAAUUAAUUACAAAUUUCAAAAUCUUAUCUUUAAUAUUUUACACAUUCUGUCGAAAUAAAUUAGAGUGAAGCUCUUCCGUUAAAGUUUCUGGAACAAAUUGGAAUGAAAUGAUAAGAGAAGCAAAAAUUAGUCUGAAAGGAAGGAAUAAGUCUAUAAAUGUAGAAUUUGAAUUGAAACAGUAAAAAUAUGCAGAAUGGUGCUAAAAUUGCAUUGGUGCUGCAAUAGAUGAAUGUUAUCGUCUGUUUUAAAGUAUUUGUUGUAAGUUUUCAUGAAAUAUCUACCUUCAUUUCAAGACAAGAUGAAAAUUAAUCGAGAGAGGUGGGGAGAGAAGGGGAGAAGGAAACAAAAACAAGGAAAGAGAAAGACAGAAACAAAAAGGUUUUUAGUUGAAAUUUAACACCAGAAAUGUAUUGUACUCUAGCGUUUCUAUCUUUAUGUAAAUAUAUCUUGUCAUACUUGUGAACUAUGCGCUCGGCUAUUCGUAAGAUGAUACGCUAUAGCUUAGUAAAUAAAUGGCUACAAUUUCUAGCGAUUCCAAGAGCUAUUUACUACAGACAGCUCGAUUCGUUUACACAUGAAAGAAAUUGCCAGUCAUAGGAAGUAACAUAUCACGUAUGCGAGAUAAGAAUAUUCACAAGAAAAUACCAAAUGGGUAUGGAGAAAUACGAAGAAAGAUUUGAGCAGUUUUGAUAAAUGUAUUUUAUUCGUUUCAAAGUUGCUUCGAAGAAAGUUUGAUCGAAAGUAUUCCUGCUGCGAACAUUAAAAUGCAUUCUACGGCAGUUGAGUUGAGUCUUCAAUUGUCGCAACGCUCCCGUUAUCUUUUACAUCUCGGCAGGUAAAAUGAUUCUCGGCUCAUCACUACUGGGUGACUGAAAGAAUUUCUCCAAUGCACUAAAGAAUAAUGUCAUAUUUAAAUGAGUCUAAUUUUAAAUAUAGCCUUCAAGUCUUACAAUUUGCAAAUUAGUAACUCCCGUUCCAGGUAGAUUCCAGUUUUAUGGAGAAUAGAAACAGAUUGGCUCCUUCUUUCGUUGACAUUACUUAAGCCGAUAAAGACAUUGAGGCUGAAAUGCCAAUAAGAGUUGAACAUCUAUGAAGGUUGAUCUACAUUUAUUCAUUUUAAGGGGAUAUACUUAAUUUUUACACCAUUUAUAUAUCUAAAACAUAGGAUACGAAUAUGUAUAUAUUUAUUAAUAUUCUGUAAUAGUGAGGAAACAGAAGGUGUCCAUGUGAAAUAUAUAUUGCAGACGGAACAAGGAAAUUAUAUAUAUAUAUAUAUAAAUAUAUAAAUAUAUAGCAAUAAGAAAAUGGAGGGGAUCAAUAGGUGGUUCAACUUUUAUACAUCAUAUAAUCUCCAAGAAUAUUUGCUUCUACAGAAUAUUAAUUAUAUUACAUUAUUCUACCAGAAGUAUAUUGGAUAGAUAUUAUCCCUAAAUGGGUUGGAUUCACAACAUUUUACUUCCUUGGAGUUAUAUAUAUAUAUAUAUAUAUAUAUAUAUAUAUAUAUAUAUAUAUAUAUAUAAUUUAUCCAUGUAGGUGUGUUUUUGUGUUUUUCAGCGAUCACAGCUUGGCAACCGUUAUUGUGUUUUAUACAUCUGAGUAACUUAACUGAUCGGCAAAAGACACUGUUAGAAUAUUACCCGGCAUUCUAAAGACUGGGAUCGAUUUCUACGACUAAGCUCUUCAACGUAGUGCCUCAGCAUGGCAGUAGGCUGAUGACAAACGGUUAGGUAAUACACAUAUAGAGAUAUAGACUGAUAUAGUUAGAUAGACAGAAUAGAUAGAUAGACAGACGGACAGGUAGAUAGAUAGAUAGAUAGAUAAACAGGUAGAUAGAUAGAUAGAUAGAUAGAUAGAUAGAUAGAUAGAUAGAUAGAUAGAUAGAUAGAUAGAUAGAUAGAUAGAUAGAUAGAUAAACAGGUAGAUAGAUAGAUAGAUAGAUAGAUAGAUAGAUAGAUAGAUAGAUAGAUAGAUAGAUAGAUAGACAGACACAAAUAUGCAUCUAUGUGUAAUUUCAUGCACGUGGUUUGCGCCUGUAAAGUUUUCAGAGAUUUGAAAGACCGUUAUUAGAAAGAAAUUAUCUCCUGUUACGUCAAAAUGCACAAGUAUUACGAUAUAUAUCUUUGAUAUUAAUAUGUACCGUGGGUGGUUAAAACGGUAAAUAUUAAAGUAGAAUACUGUGCUCCAACUUGGGCAAAUAAAGUAAAAGAUAAAGAAGAAUGGAUAAAAAUUGAUUCAAUUAAAUCUGGUAAAUUAGCCCUUUUGCCUAAUUAUAGACUAACUCGUAUUUAGCACGCAAUUUAAGCCAGCGCUCGCUUAUAUAUCACGUCAGGUUCAUCGUAGGUCAUGCAUAUAUAUGUUUGUAACUUAGGAGUGUGUUUGUCUCUGUGUGUCCGUGUGGUUGUGACUUUGUGUAUGUGAGAGUGGUACAGGAAUCACAAUGUGUAAGUGUGUCUGUGUGUGUGUGCGAGUAUGUGUGUGUGUCUGUGUACAUAUGUAUGUGCAUACGCAUGUGAAUUUGUAAAUGCGUGUGUUGUCUGCGUCGAUGAUUCAUCCUAACAAAGAGAAGAUAUGGAAUCGCCAAGAAUAUUUGCUUCUACAGAAUGGCUACAGGAAAAGAAUGGUCACGCGUUCGGUGGAUGUUCUAUAUUUAAAUAUUGAACAAGGGAAACUGAAUAGAGCUACGCAGCAUAAUUAGGAAACACAAACAGGAAAUUAAUAGGAAACGAAGAGUAGAAGUCUGUUAUAUCUGUCGACCAUCUAUAGUAUACGUUAUCAAAGACAUACUAUUUUUCAAUAAAUUAAUAGAAUUUUUCGUUUUAUUAACAUUCACCUUUGUCGUCGGGUGUCAGCGUCGAGUUUCAGCCACAGAUUGCAAUUCGUACGCAUUUAUUUUUACUGUAUUUCUAUGUUUCCUUUCAUAAGUGUGUUCACACAAACAUAGACACAAACAGAGGGGACGCACGCGAACACACACACACAUGCAUACACACACACACACACACGCAUACAUACACGUAUACAAUGUAUCACCAAGAACCAUUAAUUUCACAUGACUAUAUCUAUCUAUGUACAUACAUACAUACACACACACACACACACACACAUAUAUAUAUAUAUAUAUAUAUAUAUAUAUAUAUCAUCUAUGUCAAGUCCCACACGCACGCACACACACACGCAUAUAUAUGUAUACAUUUAUGCGUGUACGUAUACAUAUAUCUUAUCAUUUAGACAUAUUGCAUCACACAAAAAUCAGAUAUCGAAUUACAAGAAGCUCUUAACGUUUGAACAAGGAAUUAGCAAGCCACCCAAACACACAAACACACUCACAAACACAAACACACACACACACAUACGUAGAAACAAGCACAUGCACCAACAGAAAUAUACAGAUAUAUACAUACACACAUACUGUUGCUCUCGAGUAGAAGUAUAAAAUAGGUAGAUAGUUUAUCGCUUCUGUCCGAAUCACGAAACUUUUCAGAACUCCAUGCUAUCUUUGACGAGGAUAUACUGUUCAACUGAACACUAUACACUAUAUAUAUAUAUAUAGGGUCAUCACAUCAAUAAUGCAAUUUUUUCAAUUGCAUGGACGAAUAAAGUACCUGCAUCACCUUGUUAGUAGUAGUUUAUGCUCCACAUUCUUAUCUUUUUACUUAAUGUGUGUGUAAGGUUGAAGAGGGCAGUUUGAUUUGAAAAGUUAUUUUUUUCAAAUCUAUAAUGGAAAUGACAAAGGAGCAUAUUUGCCCGAUUUUGUUUUAUGAAUUUAAUAAAAGCAACAACGCAACGGAAGGUGUAAGGAAUAUUAAUGCAGUAAUUUGGGGAUCUGACAAUUACCGUCAGCCCGUGUUAACGGUGGUUCACGAAAUUACGAGUUUGAAAAAAAAAACAGCCUUGAAGGCGAACCUCGUCCUGGAAGGUAUGUAGAGCUCGAUGGGGAUACCCUGCAAACACCUCGUGAAACAAAAUACCAUCGUAACCGUUGAUGAACUAGCAGAGAAGAUUGGAUUUGUUCAUUCAAGUCAGAGCUAGAAGAAAAAAGACCAUCUUUGAUUUCAAGACGAAACGUGUUCUUCCAUCAGGAUUAUGCUCGGUCAAUAUAGCAAGGUUGACAUUCUAAAGGCUGGAGCAGUUUCAAUGGGAAAUGAUACUCCACCCAGUCACCAUAUUCGACGGACAUUACCAUCUUUAAAUAUCAUUUAUUCCGUAAUCUUCAAAAUCAUUUGGAUGGAGAAAAUAUGACUUUUGUAGACGAUUUCAGAACAGAACCGGAGGAGUAUUUUUCGUCACGGAAAAGUCAAUUUUCAAAGGGGAACUUUGCAUGUUUGCCAGAUAGAUGUAAGAUCAUUGUAGAAAAUAAAGGAGCGUGUUCUUAGACUAAAAAAAAACUUUGCUUAUCUUAUUUCUGAAAAAUAAAAGGAUAAAAAAAACAUUAUUUAUAGGAUGACCCAAUAUAUAUAUAUAUAUAUAUAUAUAUAUAUGGCUUAGUGGUUAGAGUGUCCAGUUUACGAUCGUGAGGUUGUGAGUUCGAUCCCUGAACUGGGCUGUGUUGCGUUCUUGAUGAAGACAUUUUAUUUCACAUAGCUCCAGGUGACCCAGCUGUAGAGAGGAGUUGUGACGCCACUGGUGCCAAGCUUUACCGGGCCUUUUGCGUUUCCCUUGAAUAAUAUCGGUGGCAUGGAUAGGGGAGGCUGGAAUGCAUGGCUGACUUCUGGUCUUCCAUAAACAAUCUUGCCCGGACUUGUGCCUCAGAGGGUAACUUCCUAGGUGCAAUCCCAUGACUAUUCAUGACCGAUAUAUAUACAUGCACAUGUAUAUAUAUAUAUGUUUAUAUAUAUAUGUGUGUUGUAUAUAUGUAUUUAUGUAUGUAUGUAUAUAUAUAUAUAUAUAUAUAAAAUGUCGGUAGCAUAUGAGUGGGUAUAUAUUUAUAACUCAAACCAACAGUUCAGCAAUCCAGAAAGACAAUUGUUCUCUGAUAAUCCGCGUAUCGACGAGUAUCCGAAGCAAUCUGUGCAGACAAUUUGUUUUUUAGGUUAUCCCAACAACAGUUUCGUUCAACGCUUCUGUGCUGAUGUACAAUCGAACAGGCAAAUAUUCACGAAGUCCUACAGGUAUACGAUACUGCAAAUCGCAACAGAAAGCUUCUCAAAACCUUCCGGAUGGACCAUCUUGCAUAUAUAUAUAUAUCGAUGUGAUGCUUCAAAGGGUCAACCAUUAGUGGCUUAGCUGGCCGAAACAAUGCAGUCGCAGCCAAUAGAAUUAUUCGUAAGGAAUACUAAAGCUGCACUCUAGAAAAUAUCCACUUAUCUUCCACGUUCAUGUCAUUUUUAUAUUUUAACACAAAAAAUAUUUCAUCUGCUUCUUUCUUUAAAGAAGGUGUAUAUAUAUAUAUAUAUAUAUAUAUGUAUGUGUGUGUGUGUGUGUGUGUGUGUGUGUGUGUGUGUGUGUUGUAUGUGUGUGUACACAUAAGUAUAUCUGUAUGUAUGUAUAUAUAUAUACAUGCAUGUAUAUAAUUAAGCAUAUAGAAAUACGCACAUGGAUAUAUAUAUAUAUACAUACAUAUAUAUAUAUAUAUAUAAUAUUAUUGUUGUUAUUAUUAUUAUUAUUAUUAUUAUUAUUACUAUUAUUAUUAUUAUCAUCAUUAUUAUUAUUAUUGUUAUUAUUAUUAUCAUCAUCAUCAUCAUCAUUAUUAUUAUUAUUAUUAUUAUUAAUAUUAUUAUUAUUAUUAUUAUUACUAUUAUUAUUAUUACUAUUAUUAUUAUUAUUAUUAUUAUUAUUAUUAUUAUUAUUAUUAUUAUUAUUCAUAUCAAUACUCUGUGUGCCGAAGUACACGUCGCAGGUAAUUCUAACACCUCACAAUGUUAAUACGCUUCUGAACGCAGAAAGAGAAGAUAAGAUUAUACCUGGCAAAUAUCGAGUUAUCGCAUUUUUAAACUGAAAAGAAUAGGAAUGAUGCAUCAAUAAUGCGGAUACAGAAUUCUGUAAAGAAUUCUUAAUCUCAUUAAAUUCUGCAACGGAACGACUCGAACGAAUAACGAGGCUGUUCUUCUUUAUCUCUGUUUAUCUGGACACGCGCUCGUACACCCACAAGGCCCACAAUCACACACACACACAUCCAUUUGUGCAUAUAUGUGUAUGUAUAUAUGCAUGUAUAUACAUGUAUAUAUAUAUGUAUGUAUAUAUGUAUAUGUACAUAUAUAUAUAUAUAUGUACAUAUAUAUGUAUACAUAUAUAUAUAUGUAUAUAUAUGUAUAUACACAUAUGCAUGUACAUAAAUACACACAUACACACACACAUAUAUAUAUAUAUAUAUACAUACAUACAUACAUAUACAUACAUACAUACAUACAUAUAUAUAUAUAUAUAUAUAUAUAUAUAUAUAUAUAUAUAUAUAUAUAUAUAUAUAUAUAUAUAUAUACGAUUAUAAUAAACAUUUUACGUUAAUCUCAUGUUUCUCUCUACUCUUGUAGAGUACUAAUUAAUUAUUCUUAAACCAGAGUGUUGUUGAAAGUGACUUCGAAUUUCAACCACAUCAGUCGCCGUUGGACAUCGCUGCAUUAGAGUUAUUCUUGCCUCUAAAUAGUCUCUGUUGAGUUGAAGUCAUUUUUGUGUAUAUAGGUUUGAGUGGAGUGUUGGUUAGGUUUUUAUGAAAAUGAGAUUAAAUUGACCUUAUGUUGUUUAGAAUGUACUAAAGCAUGUAGAACUUUAUAAACAUGUUUGUUGGGGGUACUUUUUCUAAUUUUCCUCCCCACUGCUUGUAUUGGAUUUAAUCCAAAUGCUUUCAAAAUCUAAAGUUCAAAAGUACAACUCCAGUACUGAAGUCCUUAGUAAUUGGCGGUGUAAACGUUUUACAAUAAAAAAUGUAGAUAUACUGACAGAUAGAUAAACAGAUAGAUAAAUAGAAAUAGAUAGGUAGGCAGACAGAGGCACAAACUAAUAGAUAUAUAGGUAGAUAUAUAGAUAGAGAGAUUGAUAGAUAGGUUGAUAUAUAGAGUGAUAGAUAGAUAGAUAACAUAGUUGCAACUCCAAAUAUAGGUAAAUUUCAAACAAGUAACAUUUUUCCAACGUGCAUACUUGUCUCUAAGUGGUAGGGUGAAAACUGACUAAAUUCAACAGGGAAAUCCCGUCUCGUGCUCUCGAAUUUCACACAUUCUAAAUUCGAAACAUUUACGAGUGCUUCCAUUGUAGAAUCAGUCCGUACAAUGUAGUUUCAUCCUUGUUUGCAUAUCACUCUUUCCGAUAAACAGUUAUUGAUCUUUCGGUUACAUUUUAGAGUUCUCUCUGGUGCAAGUAAUUCGACCGUUUCUCAUCUGCAGAUGAUAACAGAAGCCAUUGUAUCUUGUAUAAUAGUAGUUCAUAUAAAUUGAUAAAUAUGAAACAAUUUCUUGAAAGAGAUAUACUGUAUAUUAAUUUUCACCGUUUAUGAAGAGCUCAUAGCAUUUGGUCAAUUGAAGAACCCAAUUUUAGAUAAACAAUUUAAGAGACUCAACGAGUUACGUGAUUCGAUGCCAUGACAUCAUAUUGGCCAUCGGACAUAUACGUAUGUUUUUGGAUCAUAUCUCGGAAUAUGUAGUUUCAUUGACUUACAUAUGUUAGCAGCUACUCAUAGAGAGCAUACAAUUAGUGAGAUUAAUGUGGGAAUUAGCAGUGCAGAUAUUUAAAUUUAGCCGUAUCUAAUUAAAUGGUCAUUAACAUUCACAUAUCAAUAACAUGCAACAUCGUAUAAAUUACAAUUUUUAAUCAAAUAUUUAAUCGCUUAUUAUUGAAUUAGAAAAUUUCUGACUAAAUGUUUUCACAUUUGUCCUCUGAGAUAUAUGUCGAUUAUUCCUUCAUUAUAUUCAUAUUUAUUCAGCGUAGUUGUUAGGAACUUUCUGGAUUCCUUUUUUCUUUUUUUUUUCAAAUGUCUUAUAAGAAAAUGCCAAACUACGCAUCAAAACUCAACGAGUUCCAGCAAAACCUCUGAUAAAUAUAAGAUAAAAAUAACAACAACAAUAUUAAUAAUCAUAAUAAUAAUAAUAAUAAUAAUAAUAAUAAUAAUAAUAAUAAUAAUAAUAAUAAUAAUAAUAGUAGUAGCAGCAUCCCUGAUGCAGUACCAGUCAGUGGCUCUGAUGGCUUUUGGUCUUAACUGAUUGGAAGUGUGAUCAUGUAUAUUGUUGUCUCUUCCUAUAAAAAAUGGCCUACAGAUGGGUAUAUUGGGCUUCCUAUAUUUUACCCCAGUGUGACUAUGAUGGCAUGCACUGCUCUUUCACUCAAUAGUAGUAGUAGUAGCAGUAGUAAUAUUAGUAGUAGAAAGUAGUAAUAUUGAACAAGAUGCGAUACAACACGCAGAAAAUCAAAGAGAAAAAAGAAUACUAUAGUCAAGUUAAAUUAAUACUGAACACAGAGCUCAAUGCGAAAAACAAGAUAAUAGGUAUCAACACUUUAGCCGUCCCAGUUAUAAGUUACAGCUACAAUAUCCUUAACUGGACACUAAAUGAACUAACCAAAAUAGACAGGAAAAGAAGAAAGAUAAUUACAGGAUUUAGGAUGCAUCAACCAAAAUCUGACGUAGAAAGGUUAUAUAUACAAUAUAUAGAAGGCGGUAGAGGCCUUAUGCAGCUAGAAAACUAUUACAAAAUAACCACCAUAGGACUUCAAAAAUACCUACUUCAGAAGCGAGGAAAACUAAUACAAAUAUCCAUAAAAAAUGAAAAAAUAUAAAAAAACUGUUUUCAGUCUUUAAGAAAGCUGACAAAUACAAAUCUGAAGAAGACGAAGAAACAACGAAAGGUGUAAAACAACUGAAAUCCAAACUAAAACUGGAACAGCGACGGACCAUAAUAAAAAGAUGGCAAGAAAAGCGCCUUCAUGGCAAAUAUUGGGUUAACCUAAACGCAAAAGAAAUAGACAAAGCAAAAUCCCAGCAAUGGUUGAGAAGCUCACGACUCAAAGCAGAGACAGAGGGAUUUUUAAUUGCAGCACAAGACCAAAGCGUCUCCACCAGAAAUUACCAACAUAUAAUGAAAAGAAACAUAAUAAGUAACUACACAAUAUGUGGAGACGGACAAGAGACAAUAAAUCGUAUUAUCUCUGGUUGCCCAGUCCUGGCUAAGAAGGAAUAUACUCACAGACAUGAUAGAUUUGGGACUUGCAUACACUGGACGCUAUGACAACACUAUGGAAUAACAACAGAAAAAGGUGGUGUAGGCACACGCCAGAAAAGGUCACAGUAAAUGAGAAUGCAACAAUACUAUGGGAUAUGCCAAUACACUCUGAUAGAGAAAUUAAGGCUAAUAUGCCAGAUAUAGUUGUCAGAGAUCAUGACGAAAAAAAUGCUUUCUAAUUGAUGCAUCAAUACCAGCAGAUGACAACGAUUCUCUAAAAUAAAUGAAGACAUUUUCAAAAUACAAAGACCUGGAAAUAGAGGUAACUCGAAUGUCGAGUCUAAAAGCAGAAACAAAUCCUAUCAUAGUGGGCGCAUUAGGUAUGAUAAAAAAUAUUCAGACAAAUACAUAACACUAUGACUAACAAAAUAUAUAUGACAUGCAGAUAAUAGCACUACUAGGUACUGCACACAUCCUACCUGAAGCACUUUCAUUAUAGUAACCAUAAGAACAUCACAGCAAACCACAGCACACACCCAAGGCACACAGCUCCGCUCGGUAGUGCAGUAAAAGCACGCUAUAAAAUCAAGACUACUGAAUAACAUCAACAAGAACAACAACAAUAAUAAUAAUAAUGUUGAUGAUAUUAAUAAUAUUGAAAAGCUGAUGAGGAUGACAACGACGACAACGACGACGAUGAUGAUGAUGAUGAUAAUAAUAGAUUCUGGUGGCAUUAACAAUUCUUUACGUGCUUCCUACGCAUGGUACCUCGUCAUCAUCCAGGUUGUUCUGUAGAGAAAUUUUAUUGAUUCAGUCACGCACAGCCUUAUUAAUAAGUCUUUUGUGUCUCAAUUAAUUAAGAGCAGAACAACUGUCAGUUUCAUGACAGCAACACAGAUAGUAAAAAAAAAAAAUGUGGAAACGCACACAAAGAAACAAACAAUUAUACAAAUGGAUACAUACACAUACACACGCACCCCCCAAAUAUAUAUGAAUAUGAGUGUGUGUGUGUGUGUGUGCUUGUUCAUGCGUAUUUACAUAUGACUAUGUACUUUAAUAUGUAUAUAUAUAUAUAUAUAUAUAUAUAUAUAUAUUUAUAUAUACAUGAGUAUAUAUGUAAAGUGGCAGGCACUGACAACAACAUGCACACAAAAGCUCAAAGCAAAGGAAGCAGAUAAGAAAGCAUAUAUGAGUGAGUGUGUGUGUGGAAAUGUGUUGGGCGCGGUUUCAUGUCGUGAAGGUUUCCCAGUCCUUCUUGAAAUGUGUGCUGCGUUGCGUUCUUCAUCAAAAUAUUUCCCAUCACGCUACUGUGAUAUCUCCUUCUCAACUCACCUGUAGCACAGUAUGCUGCUGCUCUACAAGCUAAGUCCAUUUGAUGGAUGGACUGAACUAAUGUGCACCUAAGAUGUAGGGUCACCAUAAACAAUUCUCCUCAGAGAGAAGGAUAGAAAGCACGAUAUAUAUAUAUAUAUAUAUAUAUAUAUACCAAACACACACACACACAUAAUUAAAUGGUUAAAUCAUUAAUAACUUAAUUUAUAUCCAUUGAAUCUAUCCAUUUUCAAACUUAUUAUAUAUAUUAAAGUUUGAUUGUUUUCGUGAUGAGGGAUAAGGAUGGCAGUAAAAAAUUAAAUAAUAAUAAGAAAUUAAAGAACAGUGCAAACACCUAGAAAUAUUUGUUUAUGACCAGCAGCCAGCUCUGGCUUUUAUUCUCAAUAAACAUACUAUUCUAACCUUAGAUCUUAUACUGAUGAUAAGGAGGUAGAUAAAAUGUAAUUAGGAAUCAAUAAGAAUCCUGUGAGCCCUAUUUUGAUUGUGUCCCAAUCGUGGAUUUCCAGUUUAUUUUCAUUUAACAAGAAAAUGUAAUGUUAAGCCGUCAUAAAUAUAUACAUAUAUACAAAUCAUACGUACACAUGCACACAUAUAUCUAUAUAUCCACACACGCGCACGCAGCCACAUAUACUUUAAACUUCUUGAGUAAUUUUAGCAGUUUCUGGCAUAUUGUGUUCGACGUCCGCCGAUGCCAUUGUUAGUUGCCCUUCUUUUGGUAUCUAUAAAUGAAAUGCACGUUUAGGGGUUAGAUUCAUUUAGGGGUUAGAUUCAUUUGAGCAUCUUAGACGAUGGGUUGAGAUAUAGUUUCCAUGUUUUUAUGGAAUUUCGACUCUUGCAGCAAACUGCCGGUGUUAAGAAUCCGUAUAUCCUGAAACACGCCUGCAAUAUCAAUUCACAGUAAAACUGUUGUGCUCUUGUAUUAUCACGAAACAUAACCAAACUUCUUGGCCUACAAUGCUGUGGCCGGUGUGGUUUCCGAAAGUCCAUCAUAGUCCUUGAAGUGAGGUGCUGUUUAGCAGGCUACUGGAUCUUUGCUUGCCUUCAUGGAGUUUAUUUCCGUUCCAAAAAAUCAUCCGAGUAUAAGUAUACCUUAUAACUGAAAGACUCACUUUCACUCCUCAAUAUUGCUUGUUUCUGAUCAUUAAAAGGUAAAGCAAGUUUGUUUUUGUUUUUUUCUUUUCGAGUCUGAAAACUUUGUUGAAAUAUGGAAUGAGGUUAUGAACGCUUGAGCUCAAGCAAUGGAAGACGAUAUCAAACAAAGAAACACACACACACACACUCGGACGCACACACAAACGCACACACGUGCAUACACUCACGCGCGCAUGAACACACACAAACGCAUAAAAGCUAUUCGAUGACGAGCUUCUUACAGUUUCCUUCUGCAGACAUUGCGUGGAGGGAUUAGGUAUUAGACUAGAAUAUAUUUAUCCAGGAUACCAAACAGUGAAACUGAGGAUGUGAAAGAUGAAUUUGGGGAUACGGUUGCUUACCAGUCGACCAAGCCUAUAUAUAUGUUCACACACACACAUACACAUGCACAUACAUGCAUAUACACAUACCCAUACGCACACAAACUUAUAUAGUCAUAUGUCUUACAUACUCAAGUAUUUAGAUGCAGAUGGUGUCGACGUGUAAGGCGCUGACAAUUAAGGCGUACAUGAUGUUGAUAACUUCCAAGACGUUCCGUGAAUUCUGUUAUAACAAAAUUAUAUAUGCUUGAAUAUAUGUGUAGCAUAAAUUCUAUUCAUUGUGUAUUCAAUACCCGCUUGAUUAUGCUUAAAUGUAGACUAUCAUGUCUAUAUCGUGACACUUAGUUUCGCGGUGAAAUACAACAAAUUAAGCAGGCACACCUAGGCAAACAAAUAUCCCUCAAAACACGCGCGCGCAAACGUACAAAUUAAAUGUCAUUACAUAUAUAUAUAUAUAUAUAUAUUUAACUAUAUGUACGUAUAGUUAAAUAUAUAUAUGUGUUUUAUAUAUAUAUAUGCGUAUGUGUGUGUACUAAUAUACAUAUAUACAUAUAUAUGCUUACAGAAAUACUUAUGUAUAUAUGAACAAAUGUGUUUAUAUACAUUACUUUAUACAUAAACACAAGCACACACAUUAUUAUUAUAGUCAUUAUUAUUCGUAAAUAUAUAUAUAUAUAUAUAUAUAUAUAUAUAUAAACAUACAUACACACAUAUGCACAUACAAGCAUAAAACCAUAGAUAACUGCAUAUGCGACCGUAUUUGCGUUUGAAUAUUUACAUAUAUGAUUGAGCUUUAACAUGGAUGCAUAUUGAUAUACAUGCAUUUCUAUACAGUUAACUAAUUGUUUGUUUUUGCAUUUCAGAAAAUGUUUUAUUUUUUCUGUACAAGAAUUAGAAGUUUAUAAUGUCACACAACCGCUUUCAAAUGUAUAGUAUUGCUUACGCAUAGGCACACAGGUACUUAAAUUUUCAUGUGCUUGUUGUGCAUGCUUAUGCCUACGUGCGUAUGAAUGUGUAUGUGGUAGGUAUUCAUAUAUAUGUGCGUGUCUUUAUAAAUAUAUAUAUAUAUAUAUAUAUAUAUAUAUAUAUAUAUAUAUAUAUAUAUAUAUAUAUAUAUAUAUAUAUAUAUGUAUGUAUAUAUAUAUAUAUAUGCGGAGGGGGAGAGAGAGGGGGGAAAGUGUGGAGGAGGUAUGCAAGCUAGAUUUUAUUAAUUUCGUUAAGGCUUCAUUCAAAAUAUAUUCCAAGUCUAAUACAUGCACUUCUUUAUGGAGAAAAACCUGAAUUAUAUUUUCAUGCUUUUUUGAAAACAUUUGUUUCUUUUUAGCUAUUUUACCGAUAAAUUUUGAUAAUAAUAAUAAUAAUAAUAAUAAUAAUAAUAAUAAUAAUAAUAAUAAUAAUAAUAAUAACAAUAAUAAUAAUAAUAAUAAUAAUAAUAAUAAUAAUAAUAAGAAGAAGAAGAAGAAGAAGAAGAAGUAGAUAAGGUACAUUUUUUUUUUUUCUAUUUCGUGCGUAACACAUUAGAUAUAAUUGCUUCAAAUCAAAAUCGUCGUCUCGAAUUUCGAAACACGAUUUAAAAUUGAAUAUGUGGACCUAAAGAAGUAACAAAAGUAAUAUAUAUAUAUAAAUAAAAUAUGAAUGAAAAUUAUGUCGAAAAGACGUGAAAGCCUUCUAGACGCCAUGUUUCUUUUACGAAAUUGCAAAUUCUGAUCGUGUCUUUAAAUUGCAAAUUGUAUCUUAGAUUCUUAUUAUAGAAAUAAAUGUACUGGAUUUAAUAUAUUGUAAAAUGCUUUUAAAUUUCAGGUGCUGCUAGAAUUUGCUGUAUUUUGUUUACGAAUCAUCACCAACGAUCCCACCACUGUCAUGAGCAGUAGCAGCAGCAGCAGCAACAGCAGCAGCAGCACAGCCGCCAAAGCCACC